UACGUAGGGGGCAAGCGUUGUCCGGAAUCAUUGGGCGUAAAGCGCGUGUAGGCGGUUCUGUAAGUCUGCUGUGAAAGUCCAGGGCUCAACCCUGGGAUGCCGGUGGAUACUGCAGGGCUAGAGUACGGAAGAGGCGAGUGGAAUUCCCGGUGUAGCGGUGAAAUGCGCAGAUAUCAGGAAGAACACCUAUGGCGAAGGCAGCACUCUGGGACGGUACUGACGCUGAGACGCGAAAGCGUGGGGAGCGAACAGG
rnacentral:rRNA from 1 species